GAAACCGGCCCCAAGAUGAGAUCUCCCACAGGUCAACCUGGUAAGACCCCUUGCAGAACACGAGGUUGAUAGGCCGGGCGUGUAAGGGCGGCAACGUCCUUAGCUGACCGGUACUAAUAGGUCGAGGGCUUGACCUC
rnacentral:rRNA from 1 species